rnacentral:sRNA from 1 species
UUGUUCUGGAGUCGCAUUUUUUCCACAAAAAGAACGUAAUCAACGAUUUUCUUGGCA